GUGUCAGCCGCCGCGGUAAUACGGAGGGGGCUAGCGUUGUUCGGAAUUACUGGGCGUAAAGGGCGCGUAGGCGGCCGUGCAAGUCAGAUGUGAAAGCCCUGGGCUCAACCCAGGAGGUGCAUUUGAUACUGCAUGGCUAGAGUGUCGGAGAGGAUGGUGGAAUUCCCAGUGUAGAGGUGAAAUUCGUAGAUAUUGGGAAGAACACCGGUGGCGAAGGCGACCAUCUGGACGACAACUGACGCUGAGGCGCGAAAGCGUGGGGAGCAAACAGGAUUAGAUACCCUAGUAGUCC
rnacentral:rRNA from 1 species